rnacentral:rRNA from 1 species
AGUUUGAUCCUGGCUCAGGAUGAACGCUAGCGGCAGGCUUAAUACAUGCAAGUCGUGGGGCAGCAGGUUUGUAGCAAUACAGAUGCUGGCGACCGGCAAACGGGUGCGGAACACGUACAGAACCUUCCUUUGAGCGGGGAAUAGCCCAGAGAAAUUUGGAUUAAUACCCCAUAGUAUAAUGAAGUGGCAUCACUUUAUUAUUAAAGAUUUAUCACUCGAAGAUGGCUGUGCGGCUGAUUAGGUAGUUGGCGGGGUAAAGGCCCACCAAGCCUGCGAUCAGUAACUGGUGUGAGAGCACGACCAGUCACACGGGCACUGAGACACGGGCCCGACUCCUACGGGAGGCAGCAGUAAGGAAUAUUGGUCAAUGGAGGCAACUCUGAACCAGCCAUGCCGCGUGGAGGAUGAAGGUCCUCUGGAUUGUAAACUUCUUUUAUAUGGGACGAAAAAAGGCUUUUCUAAGUCGUCUGACGGUACCAUAUGAAUAAGCACCGGCUAACUCCGUG